GGUCAUAGGUUAGGUUAAGUUUAAAGGUAGACUCAGCGAGAUGAAGUACACGCACAAAGUAAACUGUAGUAGUGGGUCAAUUUCCACAGCAGCCAGGGCCCGGAUUCCCAAAGGCAUCUUAAGUUCUUUGUUCAAACCUUAGUAGGAGUAUCGUCAAACAUGGUGCGCCUCGCUACACCUCGGUCUCAGGGGAGAACUGCAAGCCCGCUGGAGCGAAACAUACAGUCAGUCUCCUGAUCUUGCGGUGUAGGCACGGUCUCCGAACCCCAAAGGAAGUCACAAGGACAACAAAUCCUCAGCACCGCAAUACUGGCAGCACACAGGUUGGUACACUGUCACAAGUAAUAAAAACAAGGACACAACCCAAACGAUGGCACAAGCGACACCGAGUGGGGGGACAGCAGAGCACCCUGAUGGAGGCUAGCUUGCUUGCUGCUCCAAGCUAUUGAGUAGAUGCCGGUAUCCUAUACUUCUGCGCUUAUACACUCUAACAUUGAGCUCUUACCAAGCGAGCCCUUCCUGGAACACGCCGAGAGAAGGAAGUGGAAGUAGUGCAGCGGCUGCUAUUUAAACGGGUUAUCCGCAGCACAACAGUACAUAACUCAGCCCGCAUAAAAUAUUAUUGGAAAUACAGCGGCUGUGAAGAGACCUAUGAAGUCCCAGCAAUAGAGAACUAGAAAAUGACAACGCUUCAAUAUUUGGGAAUAUCAGUACGUUUCAUCAUCGCUCCAGUACCACUUCCUCAAGUCAGAAAAAUCCCUCAAGGUGAUUUUCUGGACAGUUCAUCAGGCAAGGGGAGCUGUUCAGUGGUGUGUUCUGUGGAGAACCAGAUAGAGAGGAUCCUGUCCUGGUACAGAGGAUAGGAGAGACUCAACCAGACUAGCAGUCCUGACCUCUCCACCAACCUGUCUCUCCCUCUGGAGAUAAAGCUACAGGACAACAAUAUCUACAGCUGUGUGCCUGCCAACCCAGUCAGCAACCAGACAACCAAACUCAACAUUGAAACACUCUGCCUUCAGUUUGUAGAAUGUGUAUUUUGACUUACAACACAAAUGCGCAUCAUGACUUCAACAAAGAAGGCAACUUGGAAUGUACCGGAUUCCAAGUUCCUAUGCGAUCAUCCUCUUUCCCGACCCUUUACACCUUCACCACCCUUCUCUUCAGACCUAUGGCUGACACCUUUAGUCUCUCUCUCUCUUUCCAUCCCCUCGAUACAGAUCUCUUGAUCCACCCUCUGGCUGCAUUUUAAAAUGGCUCCUGUCUGAGUUGUAACACAGUAGCAUCAAAGAAGUGCAAGUUCUGUGGUGCAAUAACCCAGCUAAAGGAUACAGGCAACAGAUGAAUCGGCAAAUAAGAACUUGAAACAUGGAAGAUAUGCAACCUUGGUUAAUGCAACAAACAAGCUGGUACAUAGGUUCCACAAGUUAUGAGUGUACCCCCUGCUACUCUUCAGCAAGAGGAAGAAUGAUAACAUUUUGUUGUCAACUGCAGUGUCCUCACAGUUGUAUGAUGAAUCGGACCUCAAUGGCAGCAAUCCAAAGGUUGUAUGAGGCAAUUAUGAAAGGUCCAAGCUCCAGAGUUUCAGUGACAGGGCCUUCUCCAGGGUUGCUCCUAGGCUCUUGAACUCCCUCCCUCCAGCCAUCCAUGACUGAGUCCAUCUUUCAGUCCCGCAAGCAACAUUUCAACACAUUCUUUUCACAUAUCCUGUGUAGAAGUUUAUUUAUAAACUGGGUGGUUCCAUCCCUGAAUGCUGUUUGUCUGAAAGCCUUGGUAUAUCAGACCGUAUACCAUGGGUAUGACAAAACAUGUAUUUUUACUGCUCUAAUUACGUUGGUAACCUGUUUAUAAUAGCAAUAAGGCACCUCUGGGGCUUGUGAUAUAUUACCAAUAUACCUCGGCCUAGGGGCUGUGUCCAGGCACUCUGCAUUGCGUCAUGCGUAAGAACAACCCUUAGCCGUGGUCUAUUGGCCAUAUUCCACACCUCCUUGGGCCUUAUGGCUUAAAUAUACAUGCUCACCUCUGCCAAUUGGAAACUGUUGUCCACUUGUCUCUUCCAUUUCCUUAAUAUGUUCUAUUUCGCAGUGGCAAUCAACACCCAUGCCCCCACACUUCAACCCUCCUCCUGUUGCUGCCCAAGAACUGUCUGAUACAAUUGCCCCCCAGGAGACCAGCUACACCCUCACCCAGGUUGAACCCCCAAUAAUCCCCACCACCCAGGAGACCAGCUACACCCAAACCGAACCAAAGAAGACGGGGAGAAAGAUGAAAGUCCUGUUCUGUCACCCUCAAAAAACCUUCCAACCCAUUGAGCAUGACAGUCAACCCCCUGCCUAGAAGUCCAGCAUUCCAGAUUCGCCUCUUCACUGUUGACGUUGAGACUGGUGUUUUGCAGGUACUAUUUAAUGAAGCUGCCAGUUGAGGACCUGUGAGGCGUCUGUUUCUCAAACUAGACACUCUAAUGUACUUGUCCUCAGUUGUGCACUGGGGCCUCCCACUCCUCUUUCUAUUCUGGUUAGAGCCAGUUUGUGCUGUUCUGUGAAGGGAGUAGGACACAGCAUUGCACUAGAUCUUCAGUCACUUGGCAAUUUCUCGCAUGGAAUAGCCUUCAUUUCUCAGAACCAGAAUAGACUGACAAGUUUCAGAAGAAAGUUAUUUGUUUCUGGCCAUUUUGAGCCUGUAAUCGAACCCACAAAUGCUGAUG